rnacentral:lncRNA from 1 species
GCAGCGACCCGCCCCGGCACAGAGGCUAAGGAAGAAGAGGACGGAGGCCCCCGAAUCCCCCUGCCCCACGGGAUCCAAGCCCCGGAAGCCCGGAGCUGGGCGGACGGGGAGGCCGCGGGAGGAGCCUUCCCCAGACCCAGCCCAGGCCCGGGCGCCGCAGACGGUCUACGCCAGGUUCCUCAGGGACCCCGAGGCCAAGAAGCGCGACCCCCGGGAAACCUUUCUGGUAGCCCGUGCCCCAGACGCGGAGGACGAGGAGGAGGAGGAAGAGGAGGACGAGGAGGACGAGGAAGAGGAGGCAGAGGAAAAGAAAGAGAAAAUCCUUCUGCCUCCCAAGAAGCCCCUGAGAGAGAAGAGCUCCGCAGACCUGAAGGAGAGGAGGGCCAAGGCCCAGGGCCCAAGGGGUGGGUGCUGAGGGUGCUGAGAGAGCUCACAGGGAAGCAGAACAGCCCUGUCCUUGGAGGGCUUGGCGUCUCACUGAGACACAGCGAUUGAGGCCUCAAAAUGAACCCAGUGCUGUGACCGGAGGGUUUUUCCUCUGAUAAUUUCUCCCCACGAU